rnacentral:misc_RNA from 1 species
GAGUCAAAGGCAUUUUCAUCAUUUUCUUCUGCUAAUGGUCAAGGACAAAAGUUCCUUGUUGUCCAAAAGACCAUUCAAUGAAAAGAUUCUCAAGAGAUCUAAAUGAAAAGAUUUUUCUUCUUCAGGUUAAUCACUUUUGUCCAAAAAACCAUUCAAUUCUCAAACCCUUGGAUUCUUCUCCAUAGAUUUAGGCAUGGAUCAUAUCA